rnacentral:rRNA from 1 species
CAAUAGCGUAUAUUAAAGUUGUUGCAGUUAAAAAGCUCGUAGUUGGAUUUCUGGUUGGAGCGACCGGUCGGGCAUUGAUUUGUCUGCACUGGAGUCGGUUCUGGCCAUCCUCUUGGAAAGUGCGUCUGUCAUUAAGUUGUCGGGCGUAUGAUCCAGGUCUUUUACUGUGAAAAAUUAGAGUGUUUAAAGCAGGCCUUCGCCUUGAAUACAUUAGCAUGGAAUAAUAAGAUAGGACCUCGGUUCUAUUUUGUUGGUUUCUUAGAGCUGAGGUAAUGAUUAAUAGGGAGUAGUUGGGGGCGAUUCGUAUUUAACUUGUCAGAGGUGAAAUUACUUGGAUUUGUUUAAAGAACGGACUACUGCGAAAGCAUUUGCCAAGGAUGUUUUCAUUGAUCAAGAACGAAAGUUAGGGGAUCGAAGACGAUUAGAUACCAU